GCAUGCUUUACACAUGCAAGUCGAACGGCAGCACGAAAGAGCUUGCUCUUUUGGUGGCGAGUGGCGAACGGGUGAGUAAUACAUUGGAACGUACCGAGUAAUGGGGGAUAACUGUCCGAAAGGAUGGCUAAUACCGCAUACGCUCUGAGGAGGAAAGCGGGGGACCUUCGGGCCUCGCGUUAUUCGAGCGGCCAAUGUCUGAUUAGCUAGUUGGUGGGGUAAAGGCCUACCAAGGCGACGAUCAGUAGUGGGUCUGAGAGGAUGAUCCGCCACACUGGGACUGAGACACGGCCCAGACUCCUACGGGAGGCAGCAGUGGGGAAUUUUGGACAAUGGGCGAAAGCCUGAUCCAGCCAUGCCGCGUGUCUGAAGAAGGCCUUCGGGUUGUAAAGGACUUUUGUCAGGGAAGAAAGGGUUUGGGUUAAUACCCUGAGCUUAUGAC
rnacentral:rRNA from 1 species